CUCGAUCAAUCCUCAAUUCAUGUGUUGGCUUUCAAGAUUGAGUUAGCCUUAUGGUCAGAGCUAGACUCAACCUUCUUGUUAAAUCCUUAGUUUUGAUGAUUGACAAAUUGUAUUUAAAUUGUAUGUUGGGACCUGUUUUUUGGAGAUUUUGUGAUGACAAAGCUGCUACUACUUAGGGAACAGGUUGGUCUUACCUGUCACUAUUACGGUCAACUCUCACAGCUGACACAAAGUACGAAAGUUGGUGGAAAAGCUGUUGCCAUUUUUUUGCCUCAACCAAUGGGAUUUCUCCUAUGUUUUCUUGUGUCAUACUAGAUAUUGCUCAUCUUCUUCAACAAGAAAACCAACGUUUCCAUAUUCUCACAACAAAAUAUCUUUCUGAAGUGGAAUCAAAGACUCCUCUUGCAACCGGGAACUGAUUGUUCAUCGAGCUGUAUUUUUACUUCCUCGUUAUAGUUGAGUCUUUAUACAUUGUUCUUAAACUUUUGGCUACAUUUGCUUAUGAUUGUUAGUAGGUGUUGAGGUGUAAAUCUUUCUCAUUGUAGUCAUCUAGAGUUAGGUGAUCGUUCAAGCUAGAGUUAGCUUGGUGUGUCCAGUUAGAGUUAGCUGGUGCUUGUGGCAGUAGAGUUUCCUGAAUGGGUCUUCUUAUAAUAGAGUUAUUUCUAGGAGACAAAGGAUAGGAGGUUAAUACUUGGAGUCUAUAUUCAAGAAGUUGCUUGGAUAUAGUGGAUGGAUAUAGUGGACGUUAGAAAUCCUGGAAGCAGGCCGUGGUUUUUCUCCCUUGAGCAAGGAGUUUCCAAGUAAAAACCUUGUGUCUGCUAUUUACUUUAUUCCCGCACUUCUUAGUUUAUAUUUCUCCUAAUUCUUGUUAUGUGAGUUCAUUUCGGAACAGGUCCCUGUGUUGAGGAGCAACCCACUGCAACUCUUCACCUCUUAUUGUGCGUCGCAAUGUAGGGCCCCCAUAUUAUUUUGUCCACCCUCUAGUUGGAAGGCCUGGGCGUGCAGUGGGUUGUGAAGCGGCACACAGAAAAAAAUCAUUGAAAUUCACUCAAACUUCUAUCUUGGUAUCAUAUUUAAUCAUUAAAAUCUAACCCUUGUUGCCAUUACAGAUAUUUGUGCAAAAACUUCUUCGACC
rnacentral:lncRNA from 1 species